GACGAACGCUGGCGGCGUGCUUAACACAUGCAAGUCGAACGGUGAUGCUCCAGCUUGCUGGCGUGGAUCAGUGGCGAACGGGUGAGUAACACGUGAGCAACCUGCCCCAGACUCUGGAAUAAGCGCUGGAAACGGCGUCUAAUACUGGAUACGAAACUGGCCCGCAUGGGCAUGGUUUGGAAAGUUUUUCGGUUUGGGAUGGGCUCGCGGCCUAUCAGCUUGUUGGUGAGGUAAUGGCUCACCAAGGCGACGACGGGUAGCCGGCCUGAGAGGGCGACCGGCCACACUGGGCCUGAGACACGGCCCAGACUCCUACGGGAGGCAGCAGUGGGGAAUAUUGCACAAUGGGCGAAAGCCUGAUGCAGCGACGCCGCGUGAGGGAUGACGGCCUUCGGGUUGUAAACCUCUUUCAGCAGGGAAGAAGCGAAAGUGACGGUACCUGCAGAAGAAGCACCGGCUAACUACGUG
rnacentral:rRNA from 1 species